GACGAACGCUGGCGGCGUGCUUAACACAUGCAAGUCGAACGGAAAGGCCCUGCUUUUGUGGGGUGCUCGAGUGGCGAACGGGUGAGUAACACGUGAGUAACCUGCCCUUGACUUUGGUAUAACUUCAGGAAACUGGGGCUAAUACCGGAUAGGAGCUCCUGCUGCAUGGUGGGGGUUGGAAAGUUUCGGCGGUUGGGGAUGGACUCGCGGCUUAUCAGCUUGUUGGUGGGGUAGUGGCUUACCAAGGCUUUGACGGGUAGCCGGCCUGAGAGGGUGACCGGCGACAUGGGUACUGAGAGACGGCCCAGACGCGUACGGGAGGCAGUAGGGGGGAAUAUGGCACAAUGGGCGGAAGCCUGAUGCAGAAACGCCGCGUGCGGGAUGACGGCCUUCGGGUUGUAAACCGCUGUCGCCUGUGACGAAGCGUGAGUGACGGUAAUGGGUAAAGAAGCACCGGCUAACUACGUG
rnacentral:rRNA from 1 species